rnacentral:rRNA from 1 species
UACGUAGGGGGCAAGCGUUUGUCCGGAUUUAUUGGGCGUAAAGAGCGUGUAGGCGGUCAGGUAGGUCCGUUGUGAAAACUCGAGGCUCAACCUCGAGACGCCGAUGGAAACCAUCUGACUAGAGUCCGGAAGAGGAGAGUGGAAUUCCUGGUGUAGCGGUGAAAUGCGCAGACAUCAGGAAGAACACCCGUGGCUAAGGCGGCUCUCUAGUACGGUACUGACGCUGAGACGCGAAAGCGUGGGGAGCGAACAGG